rnacentral:pre_miRNA from 1 species
GUAGUACUCCCUCCGUCCGGAAAUACUUGUCAUCAAAAUGAAUAAAAGGGGAUGUAUCUAGAUGUAUAUUAGUUCUAGAUACAUCUUUUCUAUCCAUUUCGAUGACAAGUAUUUUCGGACGGAGGAGUACUUG